GAGCACGUAGGUGGGUUUGUAAGUCAGAUGUGAAAGCCUUCUGUUCAACGGAAGAAUUGCAUCUGAAACUGCAAGUCUUGAGUGUAGGAGGGGAGAAUGGAACUUCUGGUGGAGCGGUGAAAUGCGUAGAUAUCAGAAGGAACGCCGGCGGCGAAAGCGAUUCUCUGGCCUAUUACUGACACUCAGUGUGCGAAAGCUAGGGGAGCAAACGGGAUUAGAUACCCCAGUAGUCCUAGCCGUAAACGAUGGGCACUAAGUAGAGGGAAUUACCGAUGUUCUCUCUGCCGUAGCUAACGCAUUAAGUGCCCCGCCUGGGGAGUACGGCCGCAAGGCUAAAACUCAAAAGAAUUGACGGGGGCUCGCACAAGCGGUGGAGCAUGUGGCUUAAUUCGAUGCAACGCGAAAAACCUUACCGGGGCUUGACAUGGUAGAAGUAGGAACCCGAAAGGGUAACGAACGGUAUCCAGUCCGUAGCUAUCACAGGUGUUGCAUGGCUGUCGUCAGCUCGUGUCGUGAGACGUUGGGUUAAGUCCCCUAACGAGCGAAACCCUUGUUUUUAGUUACCAGCGGGUUAUGCCGGGUACUCUAGAAAGACUGCCGUCGUCAAGACGGAGGAAGGUGGGGAUGACGUCAAGUCAUCAUGGCCCUUAUGCCCCGGGCUGCACACGUGCUACAAUGGUCGGUACAAACGGAUGCGAAGCCGAGAGGUGAAGCGAAUCC
rnacentral:rRNA from 1 species